GAUGAACGCUGGCGGCGUGCCUAAUACAUGCAAGUCGAGCGAACGGACGAGAAGCUUGCUUCUCUGAUGUUAGCGGCGGGCGGGUGAGUAACACGUGGAUAACCUACCUAUAAGACUGGGAUAACUUCGGGAAACCGGAGCUAAUACCGGAUGAUAUUUUGAACCGCAUGGUUCAAAAGUGAAAGACGGUCUUGCUGUCACUUAUAGAUGGAUCCGCGCUGCAUUAGCUAGUUGGUAAGGUAACGGCUUACCAAGGCAACGAUGCAUAGCCGACCUGAGAGGGUGAUCGGCCACACUGGAACUGAGACACGGUCCAGACUCCUACGGGAGGCAGCAGUAGGGAAUCUUCCGCAAUGGGCGAAAGCCUGACGGAGCAACGCCGCGUGAGUGAUGAAGGUCUUCGGAUCGUAAAACUCUGUUAUUAGGGAAGAACAUAUGUGUAAGUAACUGUGCACAUCUUGACGGUACCUAAUCAGAAAGCCACGGCUAACUACGUG
rnacentral:rRNA from 1 species